UAAGGACUAUUAUAAACACAUGAUUGUUUGUUUACUAUGAAAUGACAUUCUUGAUGGUAUGGUGCUUUGUGCGGGAGUUGUGGGUUGAUGUUGUUACCAAGAAUUGCAAUGUCCGGUGAAAUAUAAAUUGUACAGUGGAAAUUGUUAAAAGGUAAAGUCAAUGGAUAGUUAUCUCAUGCAAGAUGUUUAUCUGUCAUCCUUGUUAUGUAUGUUUGGGAGUUGAUAUUAUUUUUUAGGGUAUCAUGAAAAUGCUUGUAAGUCGAUAUUGUCAUCUGGAAGGCUAAAUGUGUCGUGGAAGGAAAAUAGUUUUGCUUGAUUGAAUACCAG
rnacentral:lncRNA from 1 species